GCCGGGAUAGCUCAGCUGGGAGAGCAACAGACUGAAGUGCAUCACGUGCGUCGUGUGAAUUCAUACUUCUGGAGGUCGGGCGUUCGAUCCGCCCUCCUGGCA